GCCGAUGGCAGAUUAGGUAGUUGGUGAGGUAAAGGCUCACCAAGCCUUCGAUCUGUAGCUGGUCUGAGAGGACGACCAGCCACACUGGGACUGAGACACGGCCCAGACUCCUACGGGAGGCAGCAGUGGGGAAUUUUGGACAAUGGGCGAAAGCCUGAUCCAGCCAUGCCGCGUGCAGGAUGAAGGCCUUCGGGUUGUAAACUGCUUUUGUACGGAACGAAACGGUCUUUUCUAAUACCCAAGGCUAAUGACGGUACCGUAAGAAUAAGCACCGGCUAACUACGUGCCAGCAGCCGCGGUAAUACGUAGGGUGCAAGCGUUAAUCGGAAUUACUGGGCGUAAAGCGUGCGCAGGCGGUUAUGUAAGACAGUUGUGAAAUCCCCGGGCUCAACCUGGGAACUGCAUCUGUGACUGCCUAGCUAGAGUGCGGUAGAGGGGGAUGG
rnacentral:rRNA from 1 species